rnacentral:lncRNA from 1 species
CUUAUUCCUUCCUUUACUUCUCUGAACCUUAUGCAUAUGUAUUUUAAAGUCAUUUUGAGAUUAGUUUUUUCCAUUUCAUUAGAAGCGACCUCAUGACUUGACUGCUGACUUUGUUUUGUGUAUUGCUUAGGUCACACGUGUUUUGAAAUUUUAUUUCUAGGCUCCUUUUCUCCCUGAUUUCUCUGAACUCACUUCCUCUGUGCCUCCGGUUGUGAUCGAGGUCUUCACUACGGCUCCCAUCCCUGCUGCUGUUGGGAGUACUGCACAUCUGCCCACUGAGCCCGAAAGGGGCUUCGCCCAGAACGUGAGCUCUUUGAAGGUGUGACGCUGCUCUCCCGUGAGGCAAAGAGAAGCCGAGUUCUCUAAAUAAAUGUUGUUUUCACAUCAGACAAUGGUUUCGGGAUAAACUUGAGACACCAAGAGGCUGGAGCUGUGAGAAGGGGCAGAGGCUGCACAGCUCUGGAGACUGGACCCUUCCUCUCCUCCACGGGGACUGGGUCUCCGCAGCUCAAUCUGGUGGGCAGGCCAGCUUUGUGGUUGGCUUCCCUGGAGGAGAUACCAGGAGACAUUGCACACAGCUCCUCAUCAUGACAACAGUGCUGUCCCCUCCGCACCCUGGGUACCCUGCCCUUAAACAGGCACGGAAAGAUGCAGCAGGUGGCCCAAGGGCACCUCUUUGUCUGUAGGUUGGUGCAUGUUUUUCUGCCAUGGUUCGAGUUCAG